UGGGGAAUAUUGGACAAUGGGCGCAAGCCUGAUCCAGCCAUGCCGCGUGAGUGAUGAAGGCCUUAGGGUUGUAAAGCUCUUUUACCAGGGAAGAUAAUGACGGUACCUGGAGAAUAAGCCCCGGCUAACUUCGUGCCAGCAGCCGCGGUAAUACGAAGGGGGCUAGCGUUGCUCGGAAUCACUGGGCGUAAAGCGCACGUAGGUGGGUCGUUAAGUCGGGGGUGAAAUCCUGGAGCUCAACUCCAGAACUGCCUUCGAUACUGGCGAUCUUCGAGUCCGGGAGAGGUGAGUGGAACUGCGAGUGUAGAGGUGAAAUUCGUAGAUAUUCGCAAGAACACCAGUGGCGAAGGCGGCUCACUGGCCCGGUACUGACACUGAGGUGCGAAAGCGUGGGGAGCAAACAGGAUUAGAUACCCCCGUAGUCC
rnacentral:rRNA from 1 species